GGGCGUAUAGCUCAGUUGGUUAGAGCGCCACCUUGACACGGUGGAGGUCUCCGGUUCGAGUCCGGCUACGCCCACCA
rnacentral:tRNA from 1 species